GAUGAACGCUGGCGGCGUGCUUAACACAUGCAAGUCGAACGAAACACCUUAUUUGAUUUUCUUCGGAACUGAAGAUCUGGUGAUUGAGUGGCGGACGGGUGAGUAACGCGUGGGUAACCUGCCCUGUACAGGGGGAUAACAGUCAGAAAUUACUGCUAAUACCGCAUAAGACCACAGCACCGCAUGGCGCAGGGGUAAAAACUCGGGUGGUACAGGAUGGACCGGCGUCUGAUUCGCUGGUUGGUGCGGUAACGGCGCACCAAGGGGACGAUCAUUAGCCUGGUAGUGAGAGUCAGUCGCCACAUCGGGAGUGAGCCACGGCCGAAACUCCUGCGGGAGGCAGCAGAGGGGAAUACUGCAAAAUGGGGGAUAUGCUGAUGCAGCGCGGAUGGUUGAGCACAGUAGGAUGGCAGUAAGUACAGCAAUAUCAGCAGUUGAUAAAUUGACGUUACCAGACUAAGAAGCCCCGGCUAACUACGUG
rnacentral:rRNA from 1 species